rnacentral:tRNA from 2 species
UAGAGUACACGGCUUUUAA